ensembl:lncRNA
CAGGGUAAUAAAUUCUCAGAAGAAUUGUGAAAUGCUCCAAGAGUGUGUAAUAGGAGAUGCCUCCUAACUAGGAGGCUAGAAAAGGCUUCCCUUAGCGUAGUGGGAGUGCCGUGGGGAAGCCCGGAGCCCUGGCUACAGCCCUGCACCCACUCUGGCUACUGCUUGGUUGGUUUUGCUUUCCCCGGGCCUGCCGAUUUUACAGUUAACUCCUUCCUCCAUAUCCUAAGCUUCCAAAACAAGGUUAUCCCUUCUUUAGGUAAAAGCAUUAAAAUUUUCCUAGUAUUAAGUCCCCCAAGCAAUCUAACUAAAAGAUCGAAUCUCAAAAUAGAAAAGUCCCUUAUACCACAAUGAAGGCUGGAGGAAAACUCCAGGGAUCCCUGCACACCACUCAGGGCAGCAUGCCUUCCUCUCCAGGCCACCCUGGGCUCUGGGGAAGGCUGUCAGACUCCCUCCCCUUCCUGUGUACUGAGCUCCUGACUACAGUCUUGUGUCAGUUUUGCUUUUUAAAAGGGACAAGCAAACAGGAAUCUUCCCCAUGCCUACCCUCACUCACGCACACACAGUGGGCCUGGCUGUCAUUUCGUCCUGGGAUCUGAUCUCUGUUUUAUGCUCCUGCUUGUUGAUUCUGACCCAGAUAAGCCACGCAGGGAAAAGCCAUCUCCCUGCUCCUUGCUUCGGGGGAGCAGAGUCAUUUUCACACACACAAACACCCUGUGCCCCAGCUGCCUGCUUUCAGAGGCGGCUCGCUUGUGGCCAGACAGCCGAAGACCAGGCAGGGCCCGGCCUCUGUUCUCAGGUCUCAGCAGUGAUUAUGCAUGCGAGCUGUGCAUCAUGAGAAGACACUGGUUGGCGUGUGUGAACUGAUUUGCAGGACAAAGGACCCUAGAGUACUAGGCUGGGCCAGACAGUGAUGGUGACUCACGCUGUCUUUGCAAGGCAGUGCAUAAACCGAGAGCGAGACAGAAGUUCUUCCUCCCCACUUCACCCCCUGGCUUUACUGAGAUGUAAUUGACAAAUACACUUGUAUACAGUUAAUCGUACAAUGUGAUGAUUUGAUGCAUGUGCCUAUCGUGAAGUGACUGCCAAGAUGAAGCUAAUCGGCACUUCCACUGCCUCACAUGGUUACCAUUAGUUUUGUGUGUGUGAGGACACUUCAGAUCUGCUCUCUUAGCACAUUUUCAACAUACAGUACGGCAUUGUUAACUAUAGUUACCAUGCUGUUCAUGGAUCCUCAGAACGUGUUUAUCUUAUCACUGAAAAUUUGUACCCUUUGACCAAAAUCCACACACUUUUUUCCUACUCCCCAGCCCCAGGUAACUGCCCUUCUACUUUCUGCUUCUAAGAGGUCAACUUCAUUAGAGUCUGGUGCAUAUAUAUGUACUAUGGAGUAGUAUUCAGCCUUAAAAAAGAAGGACAUCCUGCCGUUUGUGACAAAGGGGCAAAUUCAGAGGGCAGUGUGCUAAGUGAAAGAUGCCAGACAAGACAGACAAAUACCGGAGGGCUGUUCUUGAGACUCGGAACAGGAAGAAGUCACCCUUGACACAGAGCCCUUCCUGUGGCCGGAAGAAGCUGAAGGCAAAGAGGGCAGGUGGACCGUCCAGGUGAGCGGCACCUGACUGCCCGGUGUACAGCAAGCUUGGCCUGGGGCAGCAGGGCUGAUUGUGCAACCCAGCUUUUGGCUUCUCAGAGGCCCUGGAACAGUGCGCAUUCCCUGGUGGUUUGAAAUCUGAGAGCUGGAAAGAGCUUUCUCCCUUUGCUUUUGUGUCAGCUCACUUCCUUGAAGAAGGUCCAUCAUCGCAAUGUUUUCUUUGGGUCCUGCUUACAGGAUCUGGGCUUGUUUUGUUUUUCUUCUUGUUGUGUAGGGAGUGACCAGGGUGGGAAAGCAAUGUCCCUUGUAAUUGUUGGGGUUUGUGCUUCUCUUGUAAACCCUUGGGCUCAAGACCAAUGGUCUGCAGUAUAAUGAGACUCGGCCAGGCCCUGCUCCCUGGAGAGGGAGACAGAGGGACCAUGCUGGUAACUUCCUUAACAUCAUUCAAAGGAAAGCCCAGUUUUUGUUUUCUCCUAAAGUGAAACUGCGGCUCUAGGUGAAAGGUACCUUGUAACUCCAUGGAUCUCUGUCUUCCACCUUCUCAUUUCCCUUCUUCCUCUUCCUUUCUUUUGCCUUUUUCCCUUUCCUUAUUUCUAUGUUCCAUAAUCUGGAAGAUCCCAUAUAUUUUCCAACUUUCCUAUUGUUUCCAAGAAUUUGCAUUAAAAGUAGCUGCUACAGUUCCUC